rnacentral:rRNA from 1 species
GGCGUGCUCAAUACAUGCAAGUCGAGCGGACAGAAGGGAGCUUGCUCCCGGAUGUUAGCGGCGGACGGGUGAGUAACACGUGGGUAACCUGCCUGUAAGACUGGGAUAACUCCGGGAAACCGGAGCUAAUACCGGAUAGUUCCUUGAACCGCAUGGUUCAAGGAUGAAAGACGGUUUCGGCUGUCACUUACAGAUGGACCCGCGGCGCAUUAGCUAGUUGGUGAGGUAACGGCUCACCAAGGCGACGAUGCGUAGCCGACCUGAGAGGGUGAUCGGCCACACUGGGACUGAGACACGGCCCAGACUCCUACGGGAGGCAGCAGUAGGGAAUCUUCCGCAAUGGACGAAAGUCUGACGGAGCAACGCCGCGUGAGUGAUGAAGGUUUUCGGAUCGUAAAGCUCUGUUGUUAGGGAAGAACAAGUGCAAGAGUAACUGCUUGCACCUUGACGGUACCUAACCAGAAAGCCACGGCUAACUACGUGCCAGCAGCCGCGGUAAUACGUAGGUGGCAAGCGUUGUCCGGAAUUAUUGGGCGUAAAGGGCUCGCAGGCGGUUUCUUAAGUCUGAUGUGAAAGCCCCCGGCUCAACCGGGGGAGGGUCAUUGGAAACUGGGAAACUUGAGUGCAGAAGAAGAGAGUGGAAUUCCACGUGUAGCGGUGAAAUGCGUAGAGAUGUGGAGGAACACCAGUGGCGAAGGCGACUCUCUGGUCUGUAACUGACGCC